AGACAGCUACAGUGUACUCAUAUAUGUGUGUGUGUGUGUGUGUGUGUGUGUGUGUGUGUGUGUGUGUGUGUAUGUAUAUACACACACAUAGAUACACACAUACAUAUAUGUACACAUAUAUA
rnacentral:miRNA from 1 species